rnacentral:rRNA from 1 species
UACGUAGGGGGCAAGCGUUGUCCGGAAUCAUUGGGCGUAAAGCGCGUGUAGGCGGCCAGAAAAGUCCGCUGUGAAAACUCGAGGCUCAACUUCGAGCUGUCGGUGGAAACUUUCUGGCUAGAGUCCGGAAGAGGAGAAUGGAAUUCCUGGUGUAGCGGUGAAAUGCGCAGAUAUCAGGAAGAACACCCGUGGCGAAGGCGGUUCUCUGGGCCUGCACUGACGCUCAUGCACGAAAGCGUGGGGAGCAAACAGG